rnacentral:rRNA from 1 species
GACGAACGCUGGCGGCGUGCUUAACACAUGCAAGUCGAACGGACAGGCCCUGCUUUUGUGGGGUGCUCGAGUGGCGAACGGGUGAGUAACACGUGAGUAACCUGCCCUUGACUUUGGGAUAACUUCAGGAAACUGGGGCUAAUACCGGAUAGGAGCUCCUGCUGCAUGGUGGUGGUUGGAAAGUUUCGGCGGUUGGGGAUGGACUCGCGGCUUAUCAGCUUGUUGGUGGGGUAGUGGCUUACCAAGGCUUUGACGGGUAGCCGGCCUGAGAGGGUGACCGGCCACAUGGGGACUGAGAUACGGACCAGACUCCUACGGGAGGCAGCAGUGGGGAAUAUUGCACAAUGGGCGGAAGCCUGAUGCAGCAACGCCGCGUGCGGGAUGACGGCCUUCGGGUUGUAAACCGCUUUCGCCUGUGACGAAGCGUGAGUGACGGUAAUGGGUAAAGAAGCACCGGCUAACUACGUG